rnacentral:misc_RNA from 1 species
GAAAUGCGAUACGUAGUGUGAAUUGCAGAAUUCAGUGAAUCAUCGAAUCUUUGAACGCACAUUGCGCCCUUUGGUAUUCCAAAGGGCAUGCCUGUUCGAGCGUCAUUUGUACCCUCAAGCUUUGCUUGGUGUUGGGCGUCUUUUUGUCUCUCCCCUUGUUGGGGGAGACUCGCCUUAAAACGAUUGGCAGCCGACCUACUGGUUUUCGGAGCGCAGCACAAAUUUGCGCCUUCCAAUCCACGGGGCGGCAUCCAGCAAGCCUUUGUUUUCUAUAACAAAUCCACACUUUGACCUCGGAUCAGGUAGGGAUACCCGCUGAACUUAAGC